AUCUACAGAUUCAAGUACUCAGCUCUGAAAACCUUUAACUGUGCAACAUUUGUUGUAGUAACUGCCUUAAAAGUAGUUGUGCUACUAUAAUAGUAGAACUAUAGUGGUUUUGUAGUUAGUAUUUGUUUGUAGUCGUGGCAGUACUUGUUGUAGUUACUACUAACAAUUGCAUAAUUAGUAGUACCAUUUAUAAUAAGUGCUAAUACUAUAAGCAGUAGUACAAGUAUCUGCAGUGUCCAGGUUGUGAUGUCAGUGAGGGGGUGGAGCCUCUGAAUCAGCUGUUAGAGUUCACACGUCCUCUGUGACCCGCAGCGUGGUGCCGUUACUGAAAGAAUCCAUCGGGAUCCUGAUGCAGAGAACUCCUCCGUCCCUGGACCACGCCCUGCCCGAGUGUUACCAGAGGGUGCAGAAGCUGCAGGGAGUUUUAACCUACAGGAGCCUCACUUCUGGACUCUGUGUACUGACGUUUACAUCGGAACAUUAAAGCUGCUGGUCGCCCCUGACGCCGACACCCGCUGGAUCCUCAGCCAGACGCACAACAUCUUCACACAGGCCGGAGUUCGACAGCUCUACGUUCAGAUUGAAAAGGCUUCCAUGUAGAAGCUCCUCCUCCUCUGAACACCAGGGACCAAUCACCUGCAGGCGACCUCUGAGGGUCAGACUGAGACCAGGGGCUGGGCAGUUAAGAACUUGACUGAUCUCCCAUGAUGCUCCAGCCCAAUGCAUCCUGGAUGAACUCAGACUGCACCCCCCCCCCCCCCCCCCAUUUUUUAUUUUUUUUUUAAUAACCUUACCUGUCCGGUUGGCGGGCACUGUGACCCCGCCCUCCUCCUUCUGGCUGUACUUUGUAGACUGGAAAAAAGCAUUCUGGGUAAGUGCCUUCAUCAUCAGAGACUAUCUGAGCCCGCUUCCUGUCCAGAUGCCCCCUCCCCCCGUGACAUCACUGCUGCCAACUGAUUGGUCCGUGUGAUGUUACUGUGUUUUUAACGUGCCAAACCAUGUGACCAAAUCAUAUGACAAGUCAGUGGGUUUCAGUUUUUUUCAACUGUAAUAAAUAAUUUUGUUUCUCUGA